AGACUUCCAAAGCAGAGCUACGUUAUUUCUCGCCAGUUUUCUAGCACAGGAGGGAAAGCUCAAGUCCCCCUGGACCUGCCUGUUUAGAUACAAUGUGAGUAAAAAGAACUGAUAUCCAGAUGUUCACUUGGUGAAAGCACUGAAUCAGAAGCUCUGGAGAGCAAAGCCUUCCUGAACAUUACCAGUGGCAGCAACCAGAUACUUGGAGCAAACAUGACUUCAGCUGGAGUUGCAGAUGGCCAGGACUUAAACAACAAAAUGAAAACAAAAACACCAAAACCAAGCAAAUAAACCUAUCACAUCUCAAGUUCAGGUCCUAAAAAUUAAGGACAUAAUCCAGGAAAAUGAUAUUCUACAUUUCAUAAAGUCUGGGAAAAUAAAAGUCAUCUUCAUCUUUCUUCUCUA